CUUAACUACCCCCUGCAAGCAUGUACUCGUGCAUACUAUUGUACGGUACAUAAUUGACACAGUACAUAU
rnacentral:tRNA from 1 species